AUGGGCAGCGAACCGCCGCCGCCGGCUGCGCCAGCAGCGAGACCUCCGUCCACCCCCGCUACCGCCGCCACCACCAGAGCGAAAAGGCACAACACCAUCUCUGCCGCCGCCGAUGGCACCACCACCACCCCCGCAACAGCAACAACAACCGCCACCGCCACCACCAUAUCCUCCCUCGGCCAAGACCUAUUCCUCGAGAUCUUCCUCCGCCUACCCAACCUGCCGGACGUCGUCCGUGCCGCGCUCACCUGCCGCUCCUGGCUCGGCGCCGUCCGCUCCUCCCCGUCCUUCCGCCGCCUCUUCCGCGCCCUUCACCCAGCGCCGCCCAUCGGGCUCUUCCUCGACAUCCAUGGCGCCGCCACCCCCUCCUUUGCAUCCCUUCGCCGUUCAGAUCCCGAUGUUGCCGCCGCCCUCCGUGGCGGCGACUUCUUCCUCACCUUCCUCCUAGUGAAUGACGACGCGUAUACAAGCUGGGGUAUCAUGGACUGUCGUGAUGGUUACGUCCUCCUGUGGAACAAGCUGCUUAAGCCGCCCAUCGUCGCUGCCGUGAACCCCAUGAGCUGGGCCGUGGACAUCAUCCCGGUGCCCCGCGAUGUCUGGGCUGGGAGGAGCGGGAGACGCCGCAACUUCGCCUUCCUUGGUUUCCACCUGUUGUCUACCGCUGAGAAGCCCUCCUCCUUCCGCGUGGUCCGCGUCUGCGCUGACAAGCAAAGGGUUCGUGUCGCCUUCUUCUCGCCGGAGACGAGGGAUUGGGUCAUCCACCCGUGGGUGUACAUCGGCGGUGACAACAACCUAAAGUCUAGCACUGGCACGCUGGUGGGUGGUUCCGUUUACCGGCCUUUUCAUGGCGAAGGGUGCAUGAUUAGGAUCAACGAAACCACCAUGGACUUCUCCAUUGUGGAUCUACCCUUGCAAAUAAAGGUGGGCGGAUCCAAUUUCAGGGCUGGGGAGACCAAGGACGACCGACUAUGCAUUGUCUAUGCAUCUGACGAUUUCCUCCUUCAUGUCUGGAUCCGUAGUGUGAAUGCUGAUGGAAUUGAGAUUUGGGUGUUGCAGAACAUAAUCUCUUUGAGUGUAAAAAUUGACAGGAUCAUUGGGGAGCGUGCUCUGGGCUUGCAGGCCCGCCUCACGGUUGUGCAAGUUAGGUCUGGAUAUGUGUACUUGUCCAUGACAUGCAUGACACCUGUCGGCACACUGCAUUGCUGGUUCUUCUCCCUUUCACCGGAGACGACGGACCUUGAGUUACUAGUCGUGGGAUGCUUUGAUGAUCGUCCCUGUCCGUAUAUUAUGGCCUGGCCUUCUUGUUUGGUUGGUGAUGAUGGGAGCAUUGAACAUGAAGUUGAAGGUUCUCAUUGA
rnacentral:rRNA from 1 species